ACAUUUUUAGCACUAUAUCCUUUUUUAUUUCCUUGCUCUCGGUAGACUCCAUAUUUUGAAAGAUUUUUCCACCAAACUAAGUAUUCUCCUGUCUUUAACUCAAAGCUACAUAAGUAUCCAGUGUAAGCUCUGAGCUUAGGAAAUAACAGGGCUCUGGAGUCAGAUCAACUGUAUGAAUAUAAGGUCAGCUAUAACAAGCUGUGUAACUUGGGCAAGUUACACAACUUCUCUUAACUCGAUUUCCUCAUCUGUGAAGAUAGUGAUGUGAUUGCUACCCCAUGGAGUUAGCACAUGGUGAGAGCUCAACCAAAGCAAGUUCCCUCUCCUCCUUAUUGCACUCAGUUCUUAUGAUUCCAGUAAGAAAGACAAAGAAAUAUGACAUUUUCUUUAUGUGAAAAACUUUUGGGCAAAUGUAUCUUUUUCAUCAUGCCUUUGGAAAUACUAAAAACAGCUCACUGUGACAAUUCAUUCAGACCCUCAGUUGGUAACCCCUGGCUUGCGCCUGCUGCUAGGGUAAGUCUAAUCAGUGCAACUUGCCAGCAGUUCAAGAUGCAGGGAAACCCAAAGGAAUGAAAGAUGAGCUUAUUGCUUGUGCCAGUGGUGCACAUGCCAAACACCAGCCCCUAAGAAAGUCAAGUCUCCCUAGCAGCCCACUAAAAUACCAGAAUAGAUGCAUCAUACUAUACUCUCCAAACUGUUGUGCCACACUCCAGCUGCCUGUCAAUAAGCAGUCAAGGGUUUCCCAGAAGACCAGGCUUCUUGUGUGUGACAGAGCCACCCACAGUGUGAUUCCAUGCAAGCUGGCUCUAGCCACAGGGAGCAGGGAAUUCAUGGGGCACAGGAAGGGUUUUUCCUCAAUGCAAAGAUACAAAAAAGAAAACAAACCUGAAAAACACCUGCAAAGCAGCCCAGAGGAGGCCAGGCAAAAGUUGUGGCUCUUCACCUCUUAGAUGCUGGAGAGGGGGACCACGUGAGGCCUUCUUUGUGUCUCCUAGAAAUCCCAGAUAAACCUGAAGCACACUUUAAUAUCUGUGUGUUCAGAGACAUUUAAACUAGAUGAGCAUAAAAAUAAACAGAAAACUGAAGAGUCAUCCAACAUAAGUCCAAGGACUAAGAAACUGGUGUUGCCUCUUGAGAGAACCCUUGCCAUACUCCUAAAUCAGGCUUAUUGCAGGAGGGUAAUGCACCUUCGGUUUAUUUCCUCAAACUCCUUUUUAUCCUCAUUACACUGAACAUCAACAAUGCAUUCAGAUAAGUGGCACUUUUCAUGCCAUAUGUUUUAUUCUGUUCUACAGAGUUCCUUUGAAGGACUUUUUUUCCUUCCCUCUAUUCUUGAAUUUCAGAGGAAUUCAAUUGUUUAAAUCAGAGAGUGGCAAACUUUCUUAAAGGGCCAGACAGUAAAUACUUUCAGAUUUGUCAAUCAUAUGAUCUCUGUUACAACUAUUCAACUCUACAGUUGUAGACUGAAAACAGUCAGAGGUUAUCCAUAAAUGAAUAGGUGUAGCUGUGUUCCAAAAAAAAAAGACUUCAUUUCUGGGCACUGAAAUUUGAAUUCCACAUAAUUUUCACGUGUCACAAAGUACUACUCUUGAAACUGUCCCCUCCAAACCCUUAAACACAUAAAAACCAUCCUUAGCCCAUAGGCCAUACAAAAUCAGGCCGAGGCCCAUGGGAACACUUUGUUGAUCCCCAACGUAAGCAGAUGAGAUUGACUGGAACCACUGUACCACUUAAGUAUUGACCUUCAGUACAAAUGAUUAAUUACCUGAAAUUAAAGAUAAACUCAAUCCGCAGACAUUUCUUGCACUGGCUAAUAAAUAACUCCUGCAGGUGGGCAGACAUGCCCAGAGGUGAAUGACAGGCUUGGGCAAUGUGAUCCUGAUGCUACUGGAAGACAGCACUGAUUUCUAUCAGAUUCUGGCCUCAGCUUGGACAGGACUGGGUGACAGGGGCAGAAUGAAAUUUUGUGCUUAGAAACAGGCAUCUGUCCUACAACCUGAGCUGGUCAAUGCCACAGAGAAGCAGGGGCCAGAUAUGAGGGGACUCUGCGGGACUACUCUCCUGUUGUCCUAGAGCUAUUUCUUCCUUGCCUCCCAUGGCCUAUGGAAGCAGGCUGCUCUCGUUCCAGAGUUUUGAACAUCACCAGCACUUCAGAAGGAUGGGGUAUGAACCAUAAAUUGAGGAAGACUUUCCCAUCAGCAGAUAGCAAACGGCGUGGCCGGGGCUGAAAACUCCUGCAAGUAGAAGAAGAAAGCACAGCAGGUGAGGAAACUGUGGGCCUACCAGGUUACAGAGAUCUUGCCUACACCAUUCCUAAGAGUUGAAGUUGAGAUUUAAGUGCAGAUCUGUCCAGUCCUAGAAUCCAGGCUCAAGAGACCAGUCUCUAUUUUCUUUCCCUUCCCACCAUGUUUCCUGCCAGGUGCUCCAGACUUUGGUCCUUUUUCCCUCCUUUCUCCUUUUCUCCUCUUCCAAAUAUUUUCUCAUGUCUUAGGCAGCAGUGUAAGUGUUAGAGUUUUAUAUACAAAUACAUAAUCCAUAUAUGUCUCAUUUAAGGAUUCAACAAGCCCAGCGCCUGGCCUGCAAACAGAAUGUCACCAGCUUCUUUGAAGCCCCAUGUGCACAUACUUUGUGGUCCCUGGAGGAACCAUCAUCCUGAAUUUUACAUUCAUUUAUAGUAGCUUUUCUUUGUAGUUUUACUGCAAAUGGCUAUACCAUUAAAAGAUGAUUUUGUUGGGUUUGCCUGUUUUUGACCUUCAUACAUGCAGAAGCUCCUGAUCUUUCUACUGCAUCCACUGGAGGGAGAAGGCCUCCUAACCUGGUUUCUACAUCAUCUCAGGAGUGAGGCAGCCCACUGUUACAGAGGGUGGAGGGUUGAGAGACUGUUUCCCAUUUGAAUGGAUUCGGUGCCUUUGAGUUUAAUUAACCGUCUUUAUCUAGUGUGGAAAAUGGUGGUAUGUGCAGUAAACAGGUGUGGAAUCUGGCAUCCAUGGACCUGAUUUUGAGACCACCUUCCAUUACUCACAGCUGUGUGGCUGUAGACACUAUCCUGUUUGAGUCCUUUUUUUUUUUUUUUUUAAUGGCCACACCCACGGCACAUGGAAGUUCCUGGGCCAGGGACUUUAUAUUAGCCACAGCUGCAGAAUAGGUUGCUGGAUCUUUAACCCACUGCACUGGGCAGGUGAUGGAGCCUGUGCCUACAUAGCGACCCAAGCCACAGCAGUUGGAUUCUUAACAUGCUGUGCCACAGUGGGAAUUCCCUCUUUGAUUCUUUUCAGCCAUAAAAUGGGGAUAAUGAUUCUUAACUAAGAUUGGUGUAAGGAACAAUUUUUAAAAAGAGUUAUCAGGCAUGUGAAAAAUAUUUCAUACAUUGUGAGGUGCUGUACAAAGUUCAUUACUGUGAUGCCAAGGUGUGGGUGUCUAGCAGAGUGAUCAGGGGUGGGCAGGGGCCAAGGGAUACGUGUGGCCCAGUAGAGAGGCAUGUAGGAACUCUCAGAGUGAUUUGUUAAGAAGCAGGGACCUGAACACAUUAAGGAGGGGAUGCUUUAGAGCUCAGGGUUCUGGGGGAAGCCCAGAGACUAGUGCCAUCUCACACCUACCUUGGUUAUGCUAGACCAGGCAGCUUUGACACCACACACAAAAAGCAGAAGGAGGUGUGUAGUGGAUGGGGGGCCCACACCCCCACCCCACCCCCCUGCCCAGGGCGCCUAGGACAUACUCAGCUCUGCUCUUCCAAUUCUCCUUCUGGUCCCCAGCAAGUGUGUUCACUCUCUGGCUGCUGCUGCCAUCCAUUCAUCCUUAACCCACAUCUGCCUGCCUGACCC